AUUGAACGCUGGCGGAAUGCUUUACACAUGCAAGUCGAGCGGCAGCACGGGGACAACCCUGGUGGCGAGCGGCGAACGGGUGAGUAAUACAUCGGAACAUGCCCAGUCGUGGGGGAUAACACUUCGAAAGAAGUGCUAAUACCGCAUACGUCCUGAGGGAGAAAGCGGGGGAUCUUCGGACCUCGCGCGAUUGGAGUGGCCGAUGUCAGAUUAGCUAGUUGGGGGGGUAAAGGCCUACCAAGGCAACGAUCUGUAGCUGGUCUGAGAGGAUGAUCAGCCACACUGGGACUGAGACACGGCCCAGACUCCUACGGGAGGCAGCAGUGGGGGAUUUUGGACAAUGGGCGCAAGCCUGAUCCAGCAAUGCCGCGUGCAGGAAGAAGGCCUUCGGGUUGUAAACUGCUUUUGUCAGGGAAGAAAUCCUCUAGGUUAAUACCCUUGGGGGGAUGACGGUACCUGAAGAAUAAGCACCGGCUAACUACGUGCCAGCAGCCGCCGUAAGAC
rnacentral:rRNA from 1 species